ensembl:lncRNA
GGGGUGACAACACACACCACAGUGAUAUCCCUAGCAGGGGGGUGACAACACACACCACAGUGAUAUCCCUAGCAGGGGGGGUGACAACACACACCACAGUGAUAUCCCUAGCAGGGGGUGACAACACACACCACAGUGAUAUCCCUAGCAGGGGGGUGACACACACACCACAGUGAUAUCCCUAGCAGGGGGAUAACACACACCACAGUGAUAUCCCUAGCAGGGGGAUGACACACACACCACAGUGAUAUCCCUAGCAGGGGGGUGACAACACACACCACAGUGAUAUCCCUAGCAGGGGGGGAUAACACACACCACAGUGAUAUCCCUAGCAGGGGGGGAUAACACACACCACAGUGAUAUCCCUAGCAGGGGG